rnacentral:rRNA from 1 species
UAGGGAAUAUUGGGCAAUGGGUGAGAGCCUGAUCCAGCCAUGCCGCGUGCAGGAAGAAGGCGUUAUGCGUUGUAAACUGCUUUUUGCCAGGGGAUAAAAUGACCGUGCGCGGUUAAUUGAAGGUACCUGGUGAAUAAGCCACGGCUAACUACGUGCCAGCAGCCGCGGUAAUACGUAGGGUGCAAGCGUUGUUCGGAUUUACUGGGCGUAAGGGCGCGUAGGCGGUGUGUCAAGUCAGUUGUGAAAUCUCCGAGCUUAACUCGGAACGGCCAAGUGAUACUGCAAAGCUAGAGUGCAGAAGGGGCAAUCGGAAUUCUUGGCGUAGCGGUGAAAUUCGUAGAUAUUCGCAGGAACACCAGUGGCGAAGGCGACUUGCUGGACUUAUGGUGACGCUGAGACGCGAAAGCGUGGGGAGCAAACAGGAUUAGAUACCCCUGUAGUCCCUGAGCGGGCUGGCAAGGCGCAU